rnacentral:misc_RNA from 1 species
UUUCCGUAGGUGAACCUGCGGAAGGAUCAUUAGUGAAUUUUAGGGCGUCUACUUGUAGAGCCUGACCUCCACUUUCUAACUCUGUGCACUUAUUUGGCGGAAAAAGGGAAUAGUGAUUGUUUAACGACGAUUGCGAAUUCCUUAUCUGCGGCUUACUUUAAACACUAGUCAAAGUAUGUAACGAAAUAUCGAAAUACAAAAAAACUUUCAACAACGGAUCUCUUGGCUCUC